CUGCUGCCUUCCGUAGGAGUUUGGGCCGUGUCUCAGUCCCAAUGUGGCCGGCCACCCUCUCAGGUCGGCUACUGAUCGUCGCCUUGGUGGGCCGUUACCUCACCAACCAGCUAAUCAGACGCGGAUCCAUCCCAUACCACCGGAGUUUUUCACACCAGACCAUGCGGUCCUGUGCGCUUAUGCGGUAUUAGCAGUCAUUUCUAACUGUUAUCCCCCUGUAUGAGGCAGGUUAUCCACGCGUUACUCACCCGUCCG
rnacentral:rRNA from 1 species